ensembl:misc_RNA 7SK 7SK RNA
GGAUGUGAGUGCGAUCUGGCUGGGACAUAUGUCACCCCAUUGAUCACCAGGGUUGAUUCAGCUGAUCUGGCUGGCUAGGCAGCUGUCCCCUUACUCCCUCACCACUCCAUGUGUGUCCCUCCCGAAGCUGCAUGCCUAAUCAAAGAGGAUGGUCUUCCCCUAAUAGAGAUGGACUGGUCUUCCAGGCAAGGGUAUAUGAGUAGCUGCACUCCCCUGCUAGAACCUCCAAACAAGCUCUCAAAAAAUGUAUCUACAAUAUGAGGCAACUACUUCUCUCCUAGGUGUCUAGCCAAAGAACAUAAAAAUACAUACAAAGAAAUCUAUGCACACCGAUAUUCACU